UUGUAUUGGAAGGGCUCGUCGCC
rnacentral:piRNA from 1 species